rnacentral:lncRNA from 1 species
AUGUUUCCUUUGGAGUUCAAAGAUAGGGGGAAAAAAAUCAAUGUCCCAACUCAAAGGCAGUUAGGCAGAAAUUUUCUUUUACUAAGUCCUUUAUUUCUAUUCAGGAUGCCAACUGUUUGGGUGAGGCCCACCUACAUUAAGGAGAGGAAUCUGCUUUACUUAGUAUACCGGUUUUCAACUGUCAUCCAGAAACACUGUCACAGAGACAUUCAAGGCUGCAGUUCUAUCAUGCCUCAUUGUGUCAACCAAAACCACCUCUAAGGAUAUCCAAAAGAGAUUCAUGUGAGCAGUACCGCUGCCCUGAGAAACAGCUGGGCUAACUAGUUUAUCUGUCUAUAUCUUCUUCUUCUUCCAACAAAAGGUAUAAAGCUAUUCGAGAACUCUGAGCACAUAUCACUUACCCUCUCUCACUAUUAGCUGAUUAGUCUGGACUGUUAUUCACAAUAUCUCCCUCCACUGAUUUAAUUCCAGAUAUUUUUGUUGGUGCCAACAGAUAGCACAGUCAAAAACAGCAACGUCACUGAGAAAAGCUUUAGUUCUGCCCGGUGAGGUGUUUUAUCACUUUUCUUAAUCAAAUCACUUAAACUAAGACUCAUUUUUUGCACCUACAAUUUGAGGUAAAAAUAUUUUCCCUCAAAGGCAUGUGUGAUGAUUAAAUGAAGUUAUACAGAUACAUCAGAUUUUAAUAUCUAGAAAACAAAUGGAAAAAUAAAUGGUAUUUGAGUGUUAAAUUUUGAAUAUCUCCAUAUUUAAUGAGGAAAAUAAGUUCUAAGUAGAUUAAUUUUUCAAAUAAUAAAUAUCUCCAUCUAACAUAUCUUCACAGUUAAUAUAUUUGGGUGCUGCAUAUAGGUAACGUAACAAUAUGUGAGUGGAGGCUGAUGGGCAUGUAGAAUAUUUCAUUUGAUAUUGAUCAAAAUUUAAGUAACUUAGUAUUACUUUCAAGGGUCUCUCUGAAGGGAAAUGAAACUUCCUAAUCAUCCCAACGACCUUCUGCCUUUUGCAAAAAGAACCUUGUGAGCUUAAAAUAGAGAACCAGAGAUGUCCCAGAUUGAUCACAGACUUUUGCCCCUCAUCUUAGCCUUAGAGCAAAAAGAGCUUUGACAUUGCAUUAAUGCCAAUAACACAGGUUUAAAAAAAAAAAAAAACCCGAAACAAACCAAAAAACCCUUUAAAAUAAACAUUUAUAAACAUGUUAUUUGGAACCCACCUGGAGACCUCCCUUUGCUAGCCUUGCUGCUGUGUGGGCUGGCUCCCUUCUGCAAUUCUGCUAAUUAAAACCACAGAAACAAGAAUCAAACGCAGGGUAACCUGGAUUAUUUUCCUUUAUAGUCUGCACAGAUAAGAUCAAGUGAGGUCAAGCAGUCAGCAGGAGUAAGGCAAAUUUUGAAACCAGCAUUCCAUUGUCUGCAUUUAAUUCCACCUGGG